CUGGCCAAGGAGGAGAAGCUCAGAGAGGAUGGACGGCAUGUCUGUAGCUCUGAGUGCCCAGCUGCCCCCACCCCUGCCCUGUACAGAUGAGGACAUCACGGGGCCCUAGAGGACAAACAGGAUGUGGUCCCUGGGGGGCUGCACUGCCCCUCGGGGUUCCCAUGGCCAUGGACUCGCAGAAGGGGGCGGCGCCUCCAUGGACCGGGCUCCGAUGUCUCCAGGCAGGGCUCAGGAGGCAUCUCAGCCCAGACCUGAGGUCUCAGCUCUUUCUCUUUCUGCCCAGUCUGAUCACUUGCUCUAGAGGGUGGGACCCAGGUUCUCGUCCUGAGUCAGGCCCUGACAGUCUGACUCCAACUAGGACUCAAAAACUUUAUUUUUCUAGUCCCCUCCAGAAAUGGAAUUACUUCUCAUCUUUGGUCAGUUCAUAGAUUAUUGCAGACCACCUACUGUGUACCAGGCAUUGGUGCCACACAGCAGAAAUACAUCCAUGACCCAGGUAAACCCAUCUUCUGUACGUGCUUGAAGAACUCAGAUUGUGCAGAAUGCAGGCAUCAAAUGCUAAUAUUCAAUCAUUUUCUUAAAAGAAAUAUGAGAAUAACUGGGGUUCAUGUCUACACUGUCAACAUUCAAAACAAUGAAGAUCAUGGCGUCUCGUCCCAGCACUUCGUGGCAAAAAAAAAAAAAAAGUGAAGAAGUGGAAACUGGCAUAAUUUCCUUUCCUGAUUUCCAAAAUCACUACUGACAGUGGCUGCAGCCAUUAAAUUAAAAGACACCCGAUCCUUGGAAGAAAAGUUAUGACAAACCUAGACAGCAUAUUAGAAAGCAGAAACAUCAUUUGCCGACAAAGGUCUGUAUAGUCAAAGCUAUGGUUUUUCCAGUAAGCAUGUACAGAUGGGAGGAAAGAAGAAGUCAAAGGGAAAGUUACUCAGUCAUGUCCAACUCUUUGUGACCCCAUGGUCUAUACACUCCAUGGAAUUCUCUAGGCCAGAAUACUGGAGUGGGCAGCCUAUCCAUUCUCCAGGGGUCUUCCCUACCCAGAAAUCAAACUGGGGUCUCCUGAAUUGCAGGAGGAUUCUUUAUCAACCGAAUGAUCAGGGAAGAACUACAGAUGUGAGAUUUGGUCGUAAAGAAGGAUGAGUUCUGAAGAACUGAUGCUUUCAGACUGUGGUGCUGGAGAAGAUUCUUGAGAGUUCCUUGGACUGUAAGGAGAUCAAACCAAUCAAUCUUACAGGAAAUUGGUCCUGAAUAUUCAUUGGAAGGACUGAUGCUGAAGCUGAAGNNNNNNNNNNNNNNNNNNNNNNNNNNNNNNNNGAGCCAACACAUUGGAAAAGACCCUGAUGCUGGGAAAGAUUGAAGGCAGGGGAGAAGAGGGCGACAGGAUGAGAUGAUUGGAUGGCAUCAAUGACUCAAUGGACAUGAGUCUGAGCAAAUUCUGGGAGAUGGUGAAGGACAGAGAGGCCUGGUUGACAGUCCAGGGGGUCGAGAAAGUCAGACAUGAUUUAGUGACUGAACAACAACAACGUGUACACUCUAAUUGAGGGAAUAGCUGUUUGAAGAGGCAGAGAGCCAUGAGGUAGGAGUGAGUACAUUCUAGAGAGACAAGGACAUUCCUUAGAGCCUUGGGGACACAGGGACUUUCUGAGGGGGAGCAGGGGGACUUGGUGGUUGUCAUGUCAGGUGCUAUCUGCUCUGCAAGGCUGCUCAAUUUUAUUUUUAAGAGAAAUGGAAUAUAUAAGCAAAAGACUAUGAUAAAAUUUAUGAAGGUCAUAUUAUAUUAGCUGCUAUAGAGAAAAGGGAAGUGAGAAAAUUGCUUGGUCAUGUCCAACUCUUUGUGACCCAAUGGACUAUACAGUCCAUGGAAUUC
ensembl:lncRNA